AAACAUUAACUGAAUGAAAACGGGUAGUCCUUGUUCUGCUUGGGGGGCUUUAAGGAAGCAAAUGGACUUUCAGAACAGAGAUUGUCAAUAAAGGUGUUGUGCCAUGUUAAAGACCCUCUUGUCAUUUUUAUUAUUCAUGGAUGGACGCUAAUUCUACAAGUCAGUUUAAGCAUAUGGAACUUCCUGAGCCAGGGAUGGAACACGAGUUGUCCAUGACAUGACACAGCUACGGCAAACACUGGAUCCUUAACCCACUGUGCUGGGUCGGGAAUUGAACUGGUGCCUCCACAGAGACAAGCUGGAUCAUUAAUCCAUUGUGCCACAGCAGCAAUCCACAUUGGAUUUUCUUCGGGGCCCAAUGUUAUAUAUGAAAUCCUUUGCAAACUAUGAAGUAUAUUUGUGAGAUGGUUUUACUGGAAACAGUAGGACACUAGAAACAAAUACGCUAUAGCAAUAUCAGCCACGGGCAUAAUAGUUAGUGGUUAAUUGAUACUCUUUGUUUAAGUCCUGACACAACCACCAUGCUGAUGCAGAUACUCUUUAUUAGUACACAGGAAAAUCAGAUCAUUAUCUAAGGCCAACAAGCUCCUCCUUGAGAUGUUCUGCCAUAUAAUCUGGAGGAAAUACUGUAAGACUUUGUCAGCACUGAGUCAUUUGCACUGGGAGUCUUACCAGAAAAAAAAAAUCUUGUCUUCUCAGAAGGUUGUUUACUGUUCUAUUCAAAGAUCAAUUUGUCAUGUCAACACUUUCUCUAAUACAAUGGCAAGUGGCAAGAACAAACUGUACAGAAUCCUGUUUCCAAGAAUACCCUUCCUGAGGCCAAGAUGUGUCCUCUGGAAAGAUACCCAUGACACAGACCACAGUGGACACCAACUCAGAUACUGAGGGAAGGUUCCACGACAGCUGAACAUGGACAGCAGACAUGCUGAACACUGAGCCCCUUAGUACAGAGCUGCUAAGCUUUCCUCUCAAGCUGACGGGGGCUGGUACUGCCUUGAAGCCCUGGGAGAUGCCAUGCCAAUUCCCAGCAAGGUCUUUAUUGUUGAAAGUCUUGCACGAUGACAUCUUUAUUCAUGUGAAAAUACAGGAUGAAUUUCAACUAUAUGAUAUUGUUUAUGUUCAUUAGAAAUGUUAUUUGUCUUUACCAAGUCUGGUUUCAAUGAACCGGCUAUGUAAUGGAUAUUAAAUAAACAUGGAAUUUUACAUGUUC
rnacentral:lncRNA from 1 species